UACGUAGGGUGCGAGCGUUGUCCGGAAUUACUGGGCGUAAAGAGCUCGUAGGCGGUUUGUCGCGUUGUUCGUGAAAUGCCACAGCUUAACUGUGGGCGUGCGGGCGAUACGGGCAGACUGGAGUACUGCAGGGGAGACUGGAAUUCCUGGUGUAGCGGUGGAAUGCGCAGAUAUCAGGAGGAACACCGGUGGCGAAGGCGGGUCUCUGGGCAGUAACUGACGCUGAGGAGCGAAAGCGUGGGGAGCGAACAGG
rnacentral:rRNA from 1 species